rnacentral:rRNA from 1 species
CACUAUAAGCCUAACGGCUGCCUCGUAGCUACUCUGAUAAAAUCAGAGUGCUCAAAGACAGGCCUUUCAGCUUGUAUUUUUCUGCCUUGUAAAGCUGAAAAAUGACCCACGCUCCUAUAGAUGGUGUUUAGCCGUGGUGAUUAUUUACAUGGAUUGUCGGAGGCGUUUGUAUAUUAUACUGACAAGAGAAUUCUAUCAUCUUUCUGAGACAAACCAGCGUGCAA